CGGCCAGCCCCGCACCGAGGCGGUGUGGUGAGGCUCGCGGCAGCCGAACGGCAGCGAUCUCGCGGGGGCCUGACGGAGCGGCGCGCGUCUCGACGUUCGCCCUGAACACGCUCUCGCUCCGCGACGGGACGAUAGGUGCCGGUGCGCCGGUCCGACGGAGGAGCGGACUGUUUCGACUGCCUCGUUGGGACCGCGUGUUUCUCCCGUGUGUGCGUGUGUUGGCCAUUCUUCAUUUUUGGCUCGCGCUUCGGCGCGUGUGUACCUGCGCGAAAAUGGGGGGUCGGCGCCCGUUCGUCAGCAAAGUGGACAUGAUCGUAAAAUCAAGCUGACAUCCCGCGGUGAUCGCGCGCGUUGCGAGGCAUCUCGAUAUCGGCGAUUUCCUCGAGACGAGACGAGCGCCGUUUGUGCAAAUAUCCGCCUGUGCCCCGACAGCAAUACUGAUUGUAUGGCCCUCGCACAGUGCACACUCGGAAGCCCAAUCGCAGCAAAUGCAAUGCAGUUCUAAAUUAUACACGUGGUCUGAAAAUUGGCCGUGAGACGAGGCAGAGGAGAACGGUGAGUGCGAUUGGGAAUGGA